AGAAAUCUAGCUGUAAGGUAUCGGACGUCUAAAACUAUGAAGUUACGGUGUAUAUUUAAAUGGUUCCGGUGAGGUUGCGGUGGAAUGUAACAUAUCGGAUUUUAAAUAUAAAAGUGAAAAUAAAUAAAAAUAGUAUGAGAUACUAUUUUUAUUCGAUUUAGAGAAGUGAAAUAUAGGUUGGGAAUGACCUGUGCUGAAAUCGGAGCGAAAACAUAAGAUUUAGAAUUUUCUGUGAGAAACGGAGCAGAUAAAUUAGCAGAAAAUGCACAGUGUCAGAAAAUUAUGAAAACUGGAGGAUAUGUCAGAAAUAUUUUUAUGAGGCUAGAUUUAAAGUUUCAUACCAUUCUGACACCCGUAGAGUGAGAAAUAAAAUCCGACAGUUAUCUAAUUAAGAUUACAGUUCGGCACAGUUUUCGGUGACCAAACGGGGUCGAAAUUGAGAACUUAAGACAUAUUCUUACUCAGUAUGUUAAACCGAGCCUGCCUGUCAAAUUUGAGCGCAAACGGAAGUUCAGAAGGGCUCCAAUGACUCCGAACUGCUAAACUGCUGCCCGAGGUAAAUAGUGUAAUAGUUGAGGGGCUGAUUUGUAAAGAGGGGAUUAAUCCCUUUCUUCUUCCUCCCUCAACCGUGCGACACAACCCGCACACACACACAACACACAGGACAUUUUUCAAAAAUAACCCUGUAAAAUUUCGUAUUUGCCAAACUAAUCCUGUGAAAUUUUUAUUUGUAAAACUAACCCUCCUUUCGCCACGUGGGUGCCACGUCAGGGAUUCCUCAAAAAGACGGUGAAUCGUUCACCGUCUUUGUAAUUUUUGUUGUAAAAGCGGUG
rnacentral:lncRNA from 1 species